CAGUAGCCGCGGUAAUACGAAGGGUGCAAGCGUUAAUCGGAAUUACUGGGCGUAAAGCGUGCGUAGGCGGUGAGUUAAGUCUGCUGUGAAAUCCCCGGGCUCAACCUGGGAAUGGCAGUGGAUACUGGCUCGCUAGAGUGUGUCAGAGGAUGGUGGAAUUCCCGGUGUAGCGGUGAAAUGCGUAGAGAUCCGGAGGAACACCGAUGGCGAGGGCAACUGCCUGGGCCUGAUCUGACAUUGAGGCACGAAAGCGUGGGUAGCAAACAGGAUUAGAUACCCGCGUAGUCCCUGUCUCUUAUAC
rnacentral:rRNA from 1 species